GCCUGAUUAGCUCAGUGGCAGAGCAGCGGUUUUGUAAACCGUCGACGAAAGUUCGAUUCUCUCAUCAGGCU
rnacentral:tRNA from 1 species